AAGUCGUAACAAGGUUUCCGUAGGUGAACCUGCGGAAGGAUCAUUAACACUUUUAAUGAGCAUCCAAAACCUCUUUGGAUCAACCCCAACCUCUUAGCGAACCGAUUGGCAAAUUUCCCUUGCCCCCUUUUUUUUAUUUCUUAAACUACUCUGAACAUCAUUUGUGUCUGAAUCUUUGCGCUUGGGCUUGCAAAGCAAGCUCAGCGCGAAAACAACUCUAACGCAAUACAACUCUUAACAACGGAUAUCUUGGCUCUC
rnacentral:misc_RNA from 1 species